rnacentral:rRNA from 1 species
GGAUGAACGCUGGCGGCGUGCCUAGCACAUGCAAGUCGAACGGAGUCCAGCCUUUAAGACCUUCGGGUCAAAGAGGGGAAGACUGAGUGGCGGACGGGUGAGUAACACGUGGGCAACCUGGCUCAUAGAGGGGGAUAACAGAGAGAAAUUUCUGCUAAUACCGCAUAAGCACACACUGCCGCAUGGCAGAGGGCGAAAAGAGAAUCGCUAUGAGAUGGACCCGCGUCUGAUUAGCCAGUUGGCAGGGUAAGAGCCUACCAAAGCGACGAUCAGUAGCCGAUCUGAGAGGAUGAACGGCCACAUUGGGACUGAGACACGGCCCAAACUCCUACGGGAGGCAGCAGUGGGGGAUAUUGCACAAUGGGGGGAACCCUGAUGCAGCGACGCCGCGUGAGUGAAGAAGUAUUUCGGUAUGUAAAGCUCUAUCAGCAGGGAAGAUAAUGACAGUACCUGAAUAAGAAGCCCCGGCUAACUACGUG